rnacentral:rRNA from 1 species
CAGUGACUAAAUUAAACGGCCGCGGUACCCUAACCGUGGCAAGGUAGCAUAAUAACUCGUUCUUUCAAUGAGGACUAGAAUCAACGGCACCACGAGGAUCCUACUGUCUCCCCGCUCCAAUCAGUGAAACUGAUACCCCCGUGAAGAAGCGGGGAUACAAAUAUAAGACGAGAAGACCCCAUGGAGCUUUAAACCCAACAACACCCGUUUAUUUUUUUACCUUAACAUUCAUUAGGCUCUGUUUGUUUGGUUUUAGGUUGGGGUGACCAUGGAGUAUAAAAUAACCUCCAAGAAAAAUAGGACCAACAAUCCUUAACAAAGAACCACAAUUCUAAGAAUUAAUAAAUUAAUUUUUUAAUGAUCCAAUAUUUGAUUCGAUCAACGAACCAAGUUACCCUAGGGGAUAACAGCGCAAUCCACUYUUAAGAGCCCAUAUCGACAAGUGGGUUUACGACCUCGAUGUUGGAUCAGGGUAUCCUAGUGGGUGCAGCAGCUACUAAUGGGUUCGUUUGGUUCAACGAUUAAAACCCUACGUGACCGGU